UGGGAUGUAGCUCAGUGGCAUAGCACUUGCCUAGCAUGGGUCAGCCCCUGGGUUCGAUGCCCAGCAUCACAA
rnacentral:tRNA from 1 species